rnacentral:rRNA from 1 species
GACGAACGCUGGCGGCGUGCCUAACACAUGCAAGUCGAGCGGAGUCGAUCGACGGAAGCCUUCGGGCGGAAGAUGGUUGACUUAGCGGCGGAUGGGUGAGUAACGCGUGGGCAACCUGCCUCGAAGACCGGGAUAACAGCCCGAAAGGGCUGCUAAUACCGGAUGUGGUCAAGGAUCCGCAUGGAUUUUUGAUUAAAGGGGAAACCCGUUUCGAGAUGGGCCCGCGUCCUAUCAGCUAGUUGGUGAGGUAAAAGCUCACCAAGGCGACGACGGGUAGCCGGCCUGAGAGGGUGACCGGCCACACUGGAACUGAGACACGGUCCAGACUCCUACGGGGGCAGCAGUGGGGAAUCUUCCACAAUGGGCGAAAGCCUGAUGGAGCGACGCCGCGUGAGCGAAGAAGGGCCUUCGGGUUGUAAAGCUCUGUCUGGAGGGACGAAGGAAGUGACGGUACCUCCGGAGGAAGCCACGGCUAACUACGUG